rnacentral:rRNA from 1 species
AGCAGCCGCGGUAAUUCCAGCUCCAAUAGCGUAUAUUAAAGUUGUUGCAGUUAAAGAGCUCGUAGUUGAAUUUCGGGAUCAGUAGAUUGGUCAUGCCUCUGGUAUGUACUGGUCUCACUGGUUCCUCCUUCCUGAUGAACCGUAAUGCCAUUAAUUUGGUGUUGCGGGGAAACUGGACUGUUACUUUGAAAAAUUGAGUGUUUAAAGCAGGCUAACGCUUGAAUACAUUAGCAUGGAAUAAUGAAAUAGGACGUUCGAUCCUAUUUUGUUGGUUUCUAGGAUUGACGUAAUGAUUAAUAGGGAUAGUUGGGGGCAUUAGUAUUCAAUUGUCGGAGGUGAAAUUCUUGGAUUUAUUGAA